AAGAUAAUACUUUUACAGAUCAUUUCUAUAGUUUGUUUUACGGAGAAAGGAUUAAAGUUGAUCGAAUCGCUAACCCACGAGGAUGAGUUUAGGCGUCCUCUUCUGAGCGUGAAGCAGAGUUUGGGAGUUCCAUUUGGGACGACCAAGCUCAUUGAUGACCGUUCAUCUGAGACUAAAUUUUGGAUGGAGGAGACAAUGCAAUCUAAUUGGU